UACGUAGGGUGCGAGCGUUAAUCGGAAUUACUGGGCGUAAAGCGUGCGCAGGCGGUGAUGUAAGACAGGUGUGAAAUCCCCGGGCUUAACCUGGGAACUGCAUUUGUGACUGCAUCGCUGGAGUGCGGCAGAGGGGGAUGGAAUUCCGCGUGUAGCAGUGAAAUGCGUAGAUAUGCGGAGGAACACCGAUGGCGAAGGCAAUCCCCUGGGCCUGCACUGACGCUCAUGCACGAAGCGUGGGAGCAAACAG
rnacentral:rRNA from 1 species